UACGUAGGGUGCAAGCGUUUGUCCGGAAUUAUUGGGCGUAAAGAGCUCGUAGGCGGUUUGUUGCGUCGGCUGUGAAAUCCCGAGGCUCAACCUCGGGUCUGCAGUCGAUACGAGCAAACUAGAGUGUUGCAGGGGAGACUGGAAUUCCUGGUGUAGCGGUGAAAUGCGCAGAUAUCAGGAGGAACACCGGUGGCGAAGGCGGGUCUCUGGGCAACAACUGACGCUGGAGGAGCGAAAGCGUGGGGGAGCGAAACAGG
rnacentral:rRNA from 1 species